rnacentral:rRNA from 1 species
GUCUAUAACCAUUCCAUUCUGAUACAUAUGCUCGUGUGUGAUCUCAGAAACUAAGGAGGGUCAGGUCCAUCUUGGCUGGGAGUCUACUCAGGACUAUCAGGUGCUAUAGGAU